UCAAUAUGGCCAGCUAUGUAAACUUUAUCCUGUAAUAGAUGUUGUUCAAUUGGUAACGAACAUUUUUGUCUUCUGACACGCUGCCCAAACCGGACGCGUGGCGUGCGCGAGCAUUGCAAAAUAAAUGUACACAUACAUGUUAUUCAAUCAUUGCACCCACACUGCUCGUGCACGCCAACGAGCGUCUGCGUUGCUAUGCGCUAAAAUAGAAGUUGCUUCUAUUUGUGACGCAGAAUGAGAUGCAAGUCCUGCCUCUCCCAUCUCCUCAUUGGCUUUUAGAAGCAUAUAUCCACGUGCCAUCUCCUCAUUGGCUAUACCCAUGUGGGUGAUUGAAAGAUUAACUGAGGUCGGUUGUGGUAAUACACCUUAUUAUGAAAGUUAGUUGCCAAUCGCCAUAUAAAGUCCAAAGAAGAAGCCUGGAAGGAGGAGAGAUGACUAGACAUGAUUCGGUUGACCGUUUUUAUGUGUGGAUUAGUUGUUGGAGUAGAGGACCUUGUGCAUUUCAGGUAAAAUAACAACUCAAUGUUUAUAUCCCAGGACAAAUUAGCUAGAAACUGCAGGCUAGCUAGCUAAAUUGUCAUAAAUGUUUCAUGCUUUUCGACCUGUCCCCAAAUUAAUAUAAUUGGUUCAGAGUUUGUUUUGGAUAUUUCAACCUGCUUGUCGUGAUCGUGUUUGGUGUGGGGGAACAAUCAAUUUGCGCAUGAUGGCGCACGGUUUGGGCAUGGUGUAAUGCCUCUUAAAAGGGAAAGUAAUCUAAAAGUCACAAGGUAAUCAGAUUACGUUACUAAGUUUGGGUAAUCCAAAUGUUACAUUACUGAUUACAAUUUUGUACAGGUAACUAGUAACGAACGGGUUACAUUUAGAAACCCUGGUGGCGGCAUGCAUCUACAGCAUUUGUUUGCGGACCGCAAUAAUAUUAAAAAAAGAAGACCCCGUACAGUCGGUGGCGGCAAUACACCAAUAGGUGUUGUCUGUCAUAAAACUUUAAAGAAGAAGAAACUUGCCAGAAGUAAACAUGGAUAGUACAGUAGUAACCAGAAUGCAAAGCUGAAUCAAUCAAAUUUUAUUGGUCACAUACACAUGGUUAGUAGAUGUUAAUGCGAGUGUAGCGAAAUGCUUGUGCUUCUAGUUCCGACCGUCCCGUAAUAUUUAACAAGUAAUCUAACAAUGUCACAACAACUACCUUAUACACACAAGUGUAAAGGAAUGAUUAAGAAUAUGUACAUAUAAAUAUGUGGAUGUGCGAUGGCCGAACGGCAAAGGCAAGAUGCAGUAGAUGGUAUAGAGUACAGUAUAUAGAUAUGAGAUGAGUAAUGUAUGGUAUGUAAACAUUAUAUAAAAUGGCACUGUUUAAAGUGACUAGUGAUACAUUUACUACAUCCAAUUAUUAAAGGGGCUAGAGAUUGAGUCUGUAUGUUGGCAGCAGCCACUCAAUGUUAGUGAUGGAUGUUUAACAGUUUGAUGGCCUUGAGAUAGAAGUUGUUUUUCAGUCUCUCGGUCCCAGCUUUGAUGCACUAGUACUGACCUCGCCUUCUGGAUGGUAGCGGGGUGAACAGGCAGUGGCUCGGGUGGUUGUUGUCCUUGAUGAUCUUGGUCUUCCUGUGACAUCGGGUGGUGUAGGUGUCCUGGAGGGCAGGUAGUUUGCCCCCGGUGAUGCGUUGUGCAGACCUCACUACCCUCUGGAGAGCCUUACGGUUGUGGGAGGAGUAGUUGCCAUACCAGGCGGUGAUACAGCCCGACAGGAUGCUCUCGAUUGUGCAUCUGUAAAAGUUUGAGUGUUUUUGGUGACAAGCCAAAUUUCUUCAGCCUCUUGAGGUUGAAGAGGCUCUGUUGCGCCUUCUUCACCACGCUGUCUCUGUGGGUGGACCAUUUCAGUUUGUCCGUGAUGUGUACGCCGGGCACCUUAACUUUCCUACCUUCUCCACUACUGUCCUGUAGAUGUGGAUAGGGGGGUGCUCCCUCUGCUGUUACCUGAAGUCCACGAUCAUCUCUUUUGUUUUGUUGACAUUGAGUGUGAGAUUAUUUUCCUGACACCACACUCCGAGGGCCCUCACCUCCUCCCUGUAGGCUGUCUCGUCGUUGUUGUUAAUCAAGCCUACCACUGUAGUGUUGUCUGCAAACUUGGUGAUUGAGUUGGAGGCAUGCAUGGCCACGCAGUAAUGGGUGAACAUGGAGUACAGGAGAGGGCUUAGAAUGCACCCUUGUGGGACCCCAGUGUUGAGGAUCAGCGGGGUGGAGAUGUUUCCUACCCUCACCACCUGGGGGCGGCCCGUCAGAAAGUCCAGGACCCAAUUGCACAGGGCGGGGUCGAGACCCAGGGUCUCGAGCUUAAUGGCGAGUUUGGAGGGUACUCUGGUGUUAAAUGCUGAGCUGUAAUCGAUGAACAGCAUUCUUACAUAGGUAUUCCUCUUGUCCAGAUGGGUUAGGGCAGUGUGCAGUGUGAUUGCGUUGUUUGUGGACCUAUUGGGGCGGUAAGCAAAUUGGAGCGGGUCUAGGUUGUAGGGUGGAGGUGAUAUGAUCCUUGACUAGUCUCUCAAAGCACUUCAUGAUGAUGGAAGUGAGUGCUAUGGGGCGAUAGUCAUUUAGCUCAGUUACCUUAGCUUUCUUGGGAACAGGAACAGUGGUGGCCCUCUUGAAGCAUGUGGGAACAGUAGACUGGGAUAGGGAUUGAUUGAAUAUGUCCGUAAACACACCAGCCAGCUGGUCUGCGCAUGCUCUGAGGACGCAGCUAGGGAUGCCGUCUGGGCCGGCAGCCUUGUGAGGGUUAAAACGUUUAAAUGUUUUACUCACAUUGGCUGCGAGCCCACAGUCUUUGGUAGCGGCAAGUGUCAGUGGCAUUGUAUUGUCCUCAAAGCGAGCAAAGAAGUUUAGUUUGUCUGGGUGCAAGACAUCAGUGUCUGCGAUGGGGGUGGUUUUCUUUUUGUAAUCCGUGAUUGAUUUUAAACCCUGCCACAUACGUCUCGUGUCUGAGCCGUUGAAUUGCGACUACUUUGUCUCUAUACUGAUGCUUAGCUUGUUUGAUUGCCUUGCAGAGGGAAUAGCUACACUGUUUGUAUUCGGUCAUGUUUCCGGUCACCUUGCCAUGAUUAAAAGCAGUGGUUCACGCUGAAUGCUGCCAUCAAUCUGCGGUUUCUAGUUAGGAAAGGUUUUAAUAGUCACCGUGGGUACAACAACACCAAUGCACUUGCUAAUAAACUCGCUCACCGAAUCAGCGUAUACAUCAAUGUUGUUGUCCGAUGCUAUCCGGAACAUUUCCUGUUAAAGUUUCUGUCUAUAGGCUGGGAGCAACAAAAUGGAGUCGUGGUCAGAUUUGUCGAAAGGAGGGCAAGGGAGGGCUUUGUAUGCGUCGCGGAAAUUAGAGUAGCAAUGAUCCAGAAUUUUGCAAGCCCGGGACGCGCAUUCAAUAUGCUGAUAUUGUUAAAAUCCCCAGCUACAAUAAAUGCAGCCUCAGGAUAUGUGUUUUCCAGUUUACAUAGUCCAAUGAAGUUAUUUCAGGGCCGUCAAGGUGUCUGCUUGGGGGGGAUAUACACGGCUGUGAUUAUAAUCGAAGAGAAUUCUCUUGGUAGAUAAUACGGUCGGCAUUUGAUUGUAAGGAAUUCUAGGUCAGGUAAACAAAAGGACUUGAGUUCCUGUAUGUUGUUAUGAUCCUACCACAACUCGUUAAUCAUAAGUCAUACACCACCACCCUUCUUCUUACCAGAGAGGUGUUUGUUUCUGUCUGCGCGAUGCGUGAAGAAACCGGGUGGCUGUACCGGCUCGUAUCCCGAGUGAGCCAUGUUUCCGUGAAACACAUUUUUUUACAAUCUCUGAUGUCUCUGGAAGGCAUCCAUUGCUCAAAUUUCAUCUACCUUGUUGUCAAGAGACUGGACAUUGGCUAGUAGUAUACUCGGGAGCGGUGAGCGAUGUGCUCGUCUACGGAGCCUGACCAGAAGACCGCUCCGUCUGCCCCUUCUGCGGCGCCGUUGUUUUGGGUCGCCUACUGGGAUCUGAUCCAUUGUCCUGGGUGGUGGUCCAAACAGAGGAUAAGCUUCGGGAAAGUCGUAUUUCUGGUCGUAAUGUUGCAGGUAAGCACACUGCUGUGAGGACCAGAAUGAUAUCUCUGGAGGAGGUGAUUCCCAUUAGGAAGUACAAAUGGACCACCUUGGACAUCCUCUCUUUCCUUCAAGCACUGGGACAUUUAACAUUAGAUGAGCGUCUAGGUGUGUCUCUGGGUGUAUAGGAAUUCCUUGACUACUGGAGACUGGACCCUGUUUUCAGCCCUGGAGGUUCAAUGAGCUGGUAGGUUAGAGAAGGAGGUGGAUCCAGAGACAGUUUUACCACCUAACAAGACACCGGCAGCCAUAAUGGGGGUUGUUCCUCUGUUUCCUCUAGCCUGACAGGAUCCUCAACUUUCAUCUCUUAUCUGGGAGUACACUAUAUAUGCAAAAGUAUGUAGACACCCCUUCUAAUGAGUGGAUUCGGCUAUUUCAGCCACACCUGUUGCUGACAGGUGUAUAAAGUCGAGGACACAGCCAUGCAAUCUCCACAGACAAAAAAUUGUCAGAACUGUUCAGUGACUUUCAACGUGGCACCGUCAUAGGAUGCCAACUUUCCAACAAGUAAGUUGGUAAAAUUUCUGCCAAGCUAGAGCUGUCCCGUUCAACUGUAAGUGCUGUGAAGUGGAAACGUCUAGGAGCAACAAUGAGAAAUGGUAAGCCACACAAGCUCACAGAACGGGACCGCCGAGUGUUGAAGCGCGUAGCGUGUAACAAUCGCCUGUUCUCGGUUGCAGCAUUCACUACUGAGUUCCAAACUGCCUCUGGAAGCAACGUCAGCACAAUAACUGUUCGUCGGGAGCUUCAUGAAAGGGUUUUCCAAUGCCGAGCAGCCUCACACAAGCCUAAGAUUGCCAAGCAUCGGCUGGAGUGGUGUAAAGCUUGCCACCAUUGGAUUCUGGAGCAGUGGAAAUGCGUUCUCUGGAGCGAUGAAUCACACUUCACCAUCUGGCAGUCCGACGGACAAAUCUGGGUUUGGCGGAUGCCAGGAGAAUGCUACCUGCUCGAAUGCAUAGUGCCAACUGUAAAGUUUGGUGGAGGAGGAAUAAUGGUCUGGGGCUGUUUUUCAUGGUUCGGGCUAGGCCCUUUUAGUUCCAGUGAAGGGAAAUCUUAACGCUACAGCAUACAAUGACAUUCUCGACGAUUCUGUGCUUCCAACAUUGUGGCAACAGUUUGAAAGGCCCUUUCCUGUUUCAGCAUGACACUGCCCCUGUGCACAAAGCGAGGUCCAUACAGAAAUAGUUUGUCGAGAUCGGUGUGGAAGAACUUAGACUGGCCUGCACAGAGCCCUGACCUCAACCCCAUCGACCACCUUUGGGAUGAAUUGGAAUGCCGACUGCAAGCCAGGCCUAAUGCCCGACCUCACUAAUGCUCUUGGGGCUGAAUUGAAGCAAGUCCCCGCAGCAAUGUUACAACAUCUAGUGGAAAGCCUUCCCAGAAGAGUGGAGGCUGUUGUAACAGUAAAUGGGGGACCAACUCUAUAUUAAUGCCCAUGAUUUUGGAAUGACUUUUGGUCACAUAGUGUAUGAUUUUCAGAUUGAAUCAGGCAUGACUCAAGUUUAAACACCAUCCCAGUCAAAAAUUAGUCCUUCAAAAAUGCUACUGAGGGUGUCAAUAAUAAAAAAUCCCCAUUAAGGUUUCACCCAUAGCAUAGGCCUACUGUGAGUCCACAACACUGUUGAUAAAAAAUAAUGGAUUAACCAGUGUGUGUUUUUGUGUUAACAACAUGAGUCUUUCUCUUUUGUUCAUAAAUUAACCUUUUAAUUGUAUUGUAUUUUAACAUUAAAAUUGAUUACAAAGUGUAA